CCUCGCUGCAUCCCGGCGUA
rnacentral:miRNA from 1 species